AGCGAACGCUGGCGGCAGGCCUAACACAUGCAAGUCGAACGAACCUUUCGGGGUUAGUGGCGGACGGGUGAGUAACACGUGGGAACGUGCCUUUAGGUUCGGAAUAACUCAGGGAAACUUGUGCUAAUACCGCAUGUGCCCUUCGGGGGAAAGAUUAAUCGCCUUUAGAGCGGCCCGCGUCUGAUUAGCUAGUUGGUUGAGGUAAUGGCUCACCAAGGCGACGAUCAGUAGCUGGUCUGAGAGGAUGAUCAGCCACAUUGGGACUGAGACACGGCCCAAACUCCUACGGGAGGCAGCAGUGGGGAAUCUUGCGCAAUGGGCGAAAGCCUGACGCAGCCAUGCCGCGUGAAUGAUGAAGGUCUUAGGAUUGUAAAAUUCUUUCACCGGGGACGAUAAUGACGGUACCCGGAGAAGAAGCCCCGGCUAACUUCGUG
rnacentral:rRNA from 1 species